rnacentral:rRNA from 1 species
GCCGGCAGCUAGCUCUCUGCAACUUUCACAUGGUCGCCCACUUUAGUUAAGUAGGGCUGCUCCUGGUCAGUACCUUUAUGGGAGACCACAUGGGAAAGCUAAGUUGCUGCCGGAA